GCAGUUGGUCAACAAUCGACUUUUGGGCUUUAUUCCUUCAUCCCUGGGGAAUUGCAGUGUGCUGCAGCCUGCAGACACUCUCACUUGCUAACAACCAGUUGACUGGAGGUAACAAAAUAAAAAGAUUGGAUGCUUGGAAAUGGCAAUAGCAAAGCCUACUUGGGAAUGAUAUGUUGAGGGGAAUGAAAGAAUGAUCAACGCUCACUUCCUUCUGGUUCAAGUGGCGCAAAGACAACCGUCUCAUUGGAAGAAAGCGUAAAUCAUGUACAAGCUAUUGCAGAUGCUGCUUGUAAAAUCAAUCCUGAUACAAUAGUGCUAUGCCAUGGAGGUCCUAUAUCUGGUCCAACGGAAGCCGAAUUCAUAUUGAAGAACACCAAGGGAGUUUAUGGAUUUUAUGGGGCAUCAAGUUUGGAAAGAUUACCCGUUGAACAAGCGAUAAAAGGAACCUUUGAACAAUACAAAUCAAUAUGUUUAGAAUAGAAUGUGUUUUCCAUACAAACUUUACGCAUUUAGUGCAUAAUAUGAGAGAGACUUUUGUGGUGUAUCCUCUGUUCUGUUUGUAUGUGUACUUACAGUUUAAAGUGUAGAAGGUUGAGUGGAUAUGGCUGUUGGUAGUAGUUCAUUAGGUUGUAAUAUGUUAUUAAUAAAAUCUUGCCUG